GCACUGCUGAGUCGUCCCAUAAUAGGACGAAACGGCCGUCCAGUGU
rfam:Schistosoma mansoni strain Puerto Rico chromosome 6, complete genome